CAGUGCACAAGAAGGAAAGUGGUGAUGUUGUGUCUAGAUUUUCAGUUCAAACUACCGACAGCUCAUGAAAGUUACGCGCUCACGAUGACCUCAGCUUGAAUGGUUCACUCUCUAUCAUAGUUGUGGUGUUGGGACAGAAUGAAAUAUGGACGAAUUCUCCUCCCAGCACAAUAAGAAAUUCAUGUCAACAAGUUUCAACGGUGUGACCGAAGGCCCUGGACCAGCAGGACAGGGCGAUAAGAAAUGGCGAAAUUACAAACUUCUGGUUGAUCCGAUCUUGAAAAAGGGACAGCAGAAGUUGUAUCGAUAUGAUGGGGUUGCACCUGGUCCAUCGGGGGCGGACUUUUCAGUCAAUGUGGUUCGGGACCCAAGAUCAAGGCUCUCCAGGUUCUGGAAGGGACGAGAGAAGUAUGAUCUUCCAGUCCCCAAGUUCAAGUAUGACAAACACUACGUCGGAGAGCUGCCCCCAAAGCAGAUCACCAUCACCAACCUCAACGACAACGUCCGAGACGCCUUCCUGCGCAACAUGUGCGAGAAGUACGGCACUAUCGAGGACAUCAACAUCUGCUUCAACCCUAAGACGCGGAAACACCUUGGGCUGGCCAGCGUCACGUUCAGUACAACUCGGGCGGCCCGACAGGCUGUCAUGGAGCUUAACAGGACAUCAGUGAUGGGGAAGAUCAUCAUUGUCCAGAUUGAUGCUGGAGGCACAGAGUGUGAGAGAAUCUAUGACUGCCUCAUCAGCAGCAGUACACCAAGUAGUUCCAGCUCCACGCCAAGAGAUCCAAGACACAGCAUUUCCACUCCAGACACGCCUACCCCAAGGAUUGUCACUGCCGAUCCUCGGAGAACAUCUCUGGAAGGUCGAACCCCUUCAGUAGCAGAAGGUACCCCGCUCAGCAUGCCUGAUCAUCCGUUUGUAUUUCCAGAGCAGCCGGGUUAUCCAGUGGGAUCUGAGCAGGGAUUCCAAGGGCCUCCUCCUCCUCCCCCUCCAGGCCCACCCACCCCGGGACUGAGUGGAAACUUUGGGGGAAUGAACAUGCACGAGUACAGUGGGACUCCCGGUGGGCCACAGGCACCCCCCUACCCUCCCGGUUUUAACCGAGGGGGUAUGGAACAGUUUCCACCCCACAGUGGUAACUUCAUAACGCCGGAGCAGCACGCCAUGUACCAGAAGCAGCAACAGGAACAGUUGGCAGCACAGCAGCAGCUGCAGCUGCAGCAGCAGCGUGGCCUGCCGCCCGGUUUUCCAGACCCAAAUGGAACAAUGCCGUACCCACCGCACAUGCCCCAUGGUAAAUUUGCCAUCCCGGCUCCGCCCGAUUUUCAUGGGCAGCAGAAUACCAACUUUAACAUGUACCAAGACAGUCACGCGUGGGACCAUCAGAACUACGGACAGCAGGGAACCGGGCAAAAUUUGGGGUAUUCAAAUCAAGACGCACAGUUACAGUAUGGUAACCAUGGACAUCAAGGGGAUCAGUGGGAUAGUUCCUUUGGUGGACAGGGCAUGCAGAGGGACUUUAAAAGCCAUCACCAGCAAGAAUCUGAUAGGUCAUACUCGAACCAGAAUUUCCCUGCUGAGAGACAAAGUGACUCUUCUAAUAAUGAUCGAUCGAGAGAAACAAGGGAAGAUUCUUCCUAUUCGAAGAGCAAAAGGAAAUCUAAGAAUCAGUCGAGAGAUCCCGUACCCGCCCCAGCCGUGCAGGAAAGCCAGUCCUCUGAAUCGGAACUUGCUGCUGAAAGAGAGGCAACCACACCUGUCCAAGAUGAGGAGACCAAACCACCAGGAACGACAGAAGACGAUGAGAAUGGCUCAGACGAGUUAAAUAUGAGUCUGGACUCUCGCAUUGAGGCACUUUUGAAACGCCAGUCUGGAGCCUUUGGUUUUGACCUGGAUUCGUCGGCGAACUCUGGAAAGGAAGACAGUACUAGUAAAACCGCCUCCGCCGAUUUUAGCCCGAGCUCCUCACCUGCGGUUGGGGAUUCCCCCUUGCUCGACGAGCCCCUUGAAAACAGGACCGGUGCUCUGCAAGAGAGUAGUAGUGAACACUCAAGGACUCAGUCCCCCUUGUCGCACGGACGGUACGAUAAACUCGGCAAACAUUGGGAAAGCCACGAAAAGGAAGAUACGGCAAAGCAUAAAUCCAGAACAACAAAAUCAAAUUUUGAGCGUAACCUUGGGCGUGCAAGCUAUAAGCGUUUACAACAUUCCGGCGAGGGCUGUAUAGAGCAAGACGUCAAAACAUCCGCGAGAGGAGAGCGGUACCCUGCCAUGUACCCGGACGACUCGUGCAGCCAAGAUUCUUUCACCUCGUUCAAAUCUACUCCUGAAAUACGGGACACAGACAAACCUUCUAGUGUCCCGUCUGGGGCCUCGACCCCGACAGUGAGCGAACACACCAGUCAGCUCAAUAUCAGUGCAAUGAUAAGCAGAGAACUGUCGAAUCUGCGCAACGUUGGCGACCAGGUACCCUCCCCACUGGUCACUGGAAGCCCAAUGGGAAGUGUGAACGAUAGCUUGGGUUCCACACCGGUAGAGUCUGAACCACAAAUGAGUAAACUACUUGCGCAGAUCACCGAUAGUCAAUCCAACCAACAGGUGCAGCUUGAGAUUGCUGAUGCAUUAGCAUCCCGGGGCGACCCUAGCAGAUCACCCUCGGACAUGGACAUGGACGACGAUCGGAUGAGCAUGUCGUCUCUCAGUAGUGGGGAGGAAACUAAGCUAGAAGUCAACGUUCCUGUACCCCAACGAAACGAACGAUCCUACCCGACCCCUCCCGCAACAAUGCUCAGAGCGCCCCCAGAGAUGCCCCGGAGUACGCCCGGGUAUGGUCAGUGGCCUGGGGUGUCCUUACCGGGGUACACCGGAGGGUUUUCCUCAGCUCUCAUGACGGCCAGUCCCACAAGGUUCCCAGCGGGUGUAGGCUACGGUGUGCAGUCGCAGUACCCCGGAGCAAACCCUUACGCUAUACCUCAGACGGCCGGCUUGCCCGGUUUCCCGGUGACGAGCGUUGCCUCAACUUCCCUACACAAUCAAAUCUUAAACCAGUUUGCAGGCAUGACUCCCGCGCAGUUUGGACAAAUGGGGACCCCUCAGCAUGCCCAGAUGCAGAUGAUGGCCCGAUUGGGGCAGUUUCAAUUGCAGCCUUUCAACCUGACCCAGCCAGGAUUCCCAUCCAACCCAGCCGCGGCCUUCCCGGAUCCUGCAGCUCAGAGACCCGCCCCCAGUCAGGGGGCCACGGUGCCGUCCUGGCAGCAGCCUAAUAUUCCCCCGCCGCCACACUUCCAUCAGUUUCUGCAGCAGUUCCCGCAGCAGUUCCAGAAUCAGCCCCUGCCGAGUUCACAAUCACAACAGCCGUGGUACACACCGCCCAAACCUGACCCCAAGGAGGAGAUUGUGAGUGAGCUCUUGAAGACAACAUUUAAUGAACUGAAGAAGAUCAUGAAGAAAGAUUUAGGGAGGAAGAUGGUGGAGUCGUCUGCCUUCAAGUCUCUGGAGGCUUGGUGGGAUGAUUGUGAACUUAAGUUUAAGGAGCCUCUUAGAAUUUCCACCGAAGUGGAGAAGCCCUCGCCAAAGAUCCAACCCCUGAUCGCUAUCCCUUUCCACUCCGGGUCAUGGGCCACGGCAGGGUCUCAGGGCAAGAAUCACGGGCUGGAGAGCAUCGGCCUAGGCCUGGGAGUAAGGGCUGCUAUGCCACGCAUGCCCUCAUUCAAGGUCAAGAGGAAAGUUCCAGAGGAAGAUGAGGACGAUGAGAAGAAGCCUAGAGCAGAGACACCACAGUACAUUGAUGAGGAUGUGUCAGACUCUGAGCGAGAUAAAGAUGGUGACAAGACUUCGGAGAAGGCGUCGGUGAGACGAGCCAGGAAGAGCUUGGUCAGCGAUGAUGAUGAUGAUUUUGAUGAUGAAGAGAAGACGACUAAAGAGAUAGAUGAAGACGAAGAUGAAGAAGAAGAAGAGGACGAAGAAGAAGAUUCUGAUGAAUCUGGCUCGGAUUUCGAAGAUGAGAUUGGCAGCCUCAAGAGCGAAUCGGAGAGUUCAGAGGAAGAGGAGGAUGAAGGGUCCGAUGCAAGUGACUCCGAGGAGAGUAGCUCUGGAUCUGAGAUGUCAUCCAGUGAGGAGUCUGACUCAGAGGAUGAGGCUAAAGACAGCAGCAAGAAAGAUUCCAGAACUGUUUCAGAUAUCAAGAGGGAGGAAAAACUUGCCAAGAUCUUAGAGGAGAAGGAGGAACCUUCUUCAGACGCCAAGGUCAAGGACAAGGAGGUGUCUGAGAAGAAGCUGAGCAAGAAAGCUGUUAACGGAGACGCCACUCAGAAGGAAACUGUCAAAGACAUAAUCGAGAAGGUAUCAUCAGCAAAAACAACAACAGAGCAAUCUGACAAGAUGAGAACAGAGGACAGACAGGCAACCACUGAAGAAGUAGAGGUCGCCACCGAGGUCAAAUCGGAGGACAGAAUGAACUCUUUCGAGCUUCUCGUUGAGAUGGCCACCCAGGCAAGGACAGAACUCUUGGACGAGAAACCGGCCGAGGUCGUCGUGACGUCGUUGAAGACCGAGGAGAUAGAGGCUGCCGAACUUCUGCAGACGUUGAAGAAAAAGGGCGUGGCGGCGAUAGGGAGGAUGGACGGGGACAUUGGUAGGACGUCUGCGAGGGAUGCGGAGGCAAGGCUCCCCGAGGGAGAGUUCAUGGAGGAGGAGGUGGUGAUGGAAUCCAUCGAGGAUAUGGAGUUUGAGAUUGAUUCUAAGAAGAAUCGGAAAGCUACCUUGCCAAAGGAGACAGCCGAUGAGCAACAACCUCUCCUGUUCCUUGACCACAGCUACUGCCAACGUCCUCCCCUGCCCAAGAUCAAGGAGCCGCCACCACCCACAGCAGUCAAGAAGUCCCCUGUCGGGUUCGACCAGCCGAGCGUCCGACUGGUCAAGCUUGACCUCUCCGACAAGGAACUCACCUCUUUCAAGGAGACCGAGGAGAACGAGAUCAUAGAUGUGGUCACCGAGCCUGAAGAAGAACCUCCUCCUAAGAAGCAGAAGUCGACCAAGAGGAAACACAAGGAGGAAGUUGCGCCGAUGGAAGAAGAGGUGGCCAUCCCUGAGCCGUCAAAGCCCCAGUUCAUGCCAAGGAACUACUACGAGGAGUGGACGGCUCUCUAUCAGUUCUUGGCGCUGGGGGUUGAUCAGGAGGAUGCGUUCUACUUGAGGAAAAGCUACGAGUCCAUGCUUCAAGAAGGGAAGAUACCGUGGCUGAGCUACACCCACUGGGUCUCACAUUCAUUGACAGCGAUACCAGACCCGCCCAAGAAGAAGCGGAAGACUGACGAGGUCCGAGUGCACGCCACAGGGACGGCCAGGACGGAAGGAUUCUACAAGAUCACAUACCAAGAGAAGAAGAAGUAUCUGAAGAGGCUGCAGACGAUCUCGCAGGAUAAGACUCAGGAUAACCAGGACCCCAGUGUGACCGUCAUAUCGGUUAGCGGCAAGCAUAAUGAGCUGUCUAGGGAGGCUAGGUCUGACCAGCGGAGGGCCAUGGCUACCCUGUCUAGGCAAGACGGCGCUGUGUCUGAUCUACUCAAAUUCAACCAACUCAAGUUCCGUAAGAAGGAGUUGAAGUUCUUGAAGAGCGGUAUCCACGGCUGGGGUCUGUACGCCAUGCAGCCCAUCUCGGCCGAUGAGAUGGUCAUCGAGUACGUCGGGGAGUCCAUCCGGCAGAGCACCGCCGACGAGAGGGAGACUCGGUACGAGAAGCUUGGCAUCGGGAGCAGCUACCUCUUCAGGAUCGAUGCUGAUUCUAUCAUAGAUGCCACCAAGACUGGAAAUCUGGCGCGCUUCAUCAACCACAGUUGCAAUCCAAACUGUUACGCCAAGAUCAUCUCCAUGGAGUCACAGAAGAAGAUUGUGAUCUACUCCAAGCAGAAUAUCUCCACUGGGGAGGAGAUUACGUACGAUUACAAGUUCCCCAUUGAGGAUGAAAAGAUUGCAUGUUUGUGUGGUACGGCUCAGUGUAGAGGCACCCUCAACUAAAAUGUUACGCAUCAAUGGUGAGGCACUUAAACCUCAGAGGUUUGGUACGGCUGAGUUUUGAGGCACCCUCAACUAAGAUGUGUUGUGUUGCUGGCUCUAGAAGCUGUUUUUAAUAGCCACAAUAAAAAUAUGUGGGAUACACUGCUGAAGCGCUUGAACCUCAGAGGUGUUGUAUGGCUGAGUGUUGAGGCACCCUCAACUAAGGUUUGUUGUGCUUUUUGGAACCACUUAGCCGGAAGAGAAAGAUAUUAGGUACACCUCAUUAGUGGGGCACUGAAACCUUGGAGGUGUGCUACGGUAUGGUUUAGAGGCACCCUCAACUAAGGUUUUUGGGGUUACUUGCUCUUUAUCCUUAAUCCACCUUUGACAGACAGAAGGGUAUGAGAGACACGUUAUUUGUUGAGGUACUUCUAAAUUGUGGAUUUAUUGUCUGUGCGGUAAAGCUUGGUAUAGAGAAACUCUUCACUAAGGUUCUUCCUGUUGGCCUAACUCUACGAACCACUGACUUCGAUGGUUGUGAAGUACAUGUACACCUCAUUGGUGAGGUUCUCCUUCCUCAAUGUCUUUUAAGUUCUGUGUGGUACGUUUGAGCUAAUAUGCAUCACCAACUAAAGAUUUGUCCAUGUUGCUCUCGAUGCAUCAAGACUGAGAUAGAAAGAUGUGAGGCACAACUCAUUUGGUAGGGAUGCACUUUUGAGGAUUUAAUGUCUUUGUGGCUUAGCAUGUGGUAGAGGCACCCAUAAAUAUUUUAGUGCCUGUUUAUAAACAGGGCCUAAUUUUAUGGCUCUGCUUACCGCCGAAUUCUGCGCUUACAAUCACGAUUCCCCACUCGCGUGCAAGCGCCGAAUGUCUGUGCUAGCCUUGUAAGCGUAGAAGGCCUAGUAACUUGGAGUACGCACGUGCAGAAACCAAAAUUCGCUGCUUGCCAUGAAAUACGCUUGCCGUAAGCACAAAAUUCCCUGGUCCCUUUAAGCGCCGAUUCUGUGCUUGCGGUAAACAGAGCUAAAUAGAGCCAUGAAAUUAGGCCCUGCACUGUUGUCCUAGAGAGGAAGAAGUGAGGUACACUACACUUGGGUCUCCUCUCAAAGAACUUUGCGUUUGUGGUACUGCUCAUUUAAAAGGCACUCUCAACUAAAAUGUUAUGAUGCUUUUUAAAAAAUGUACCCUUGACUAUUAAGAUUGAGAGGUAUGAGGUACACAUUUUUAGUGAGGCAUCCUGAAAUAAGUUUGGAGCCGUUGAAAUUAACCGAACAUUGAUUGACCACAAAGAUGCGGGCGGGGUACACCUCACUGUUAGGAGUCUUUCGAGUUUCAAAAGGACUCGCCUCGGAAGGUGUCGUUUUGACGUUGAAGCACUCUAUGGAUUUGAGAUUUGCUCAACUAUAAAGGAGAGGCAUGCUCAAGCAAUUAAGUUCUAGCUUCAACCUUCAAGUCGAAUUUGAAGGAGAGUUUCUAUGUGUGAUACAUCUUGGUGUGAAGGCAAUAUCCACCCAUGGGAAAUAUACAAUGUCUUUGAGGUGUAACUUUUUUUAAAUGGAAGAGUUACAUGUCUCUGUUGUGCACUUUGUUGUGGAUUUCCUGCAAAAAUGAUUUCGCCAUAAUUUGGAGGCAAUAAUGUCCAGUGUUCAUUUUUGUAAACGCAUUGCUGAACUCUUCAAGCAAAAACAAAUUGCUACAACAUGGUUUGUCAUUGUGCGAACUUGGCCAUGGCUCUUUAUUAGCCUAGGUUGGGGCGCCCUCUAUUAAAAACAAUAUUGCGUUGAAAUCUUUCGAACAGGAAACUGCUGGAUGGAAAAAAUAUCAGGUGGUUGUUAGGAGGCUUUUUACCGUUUUUGUCACAAAGUUGGGGCUCUGAAAUGCUGAAAUUGGCACGUCUGUUUCAAUGUUCGUUUUGCAGUUGUGUGAUACUUGUACACGAUUUAUCUAUAAUGUUUGUGGUGGUUGUACAAACCAAUUUAUAAAAGUGUUAAAUAAAAGCACUUGUAAAUACAUGUAUUUGUAUUGUCACUUUCACUAUUGACUUAUCCAUGAG